rnacentral:rRNA from 1 species
UAGGGAAUAUUGCACAAUGGGGGAAACCCUGACCCAGCGACGCCGCGUGAGGGAAGAAGGUUUUCGGAUUGUAAACCUCUGUCCUUGGUGACGAUAAUGACGGUAGCCAAGGAGGAAGCCACGGCUAACUACGUGCCAGCAGCCGCGGUAAUACGUAGGUGGCGAGCGUUGUCCGGAAUUACUGGGUGUAAAGGGAGCGUAGGCGGGAGAGCAAGUCGACUGUGAAAGCUAUGGGCUUAACCCAUAGAUGCGAUCGAAACUGUUCAUCUUGAGUGAAGUAGAGGCAGGCGGAAUUCCUAGUGUAGCGGUGAAAUGCGUAGAUAUUAGGAGGAACACCAGUGGCGAAGGCGGCCUGCUGGACUGAGACUGACGUUGAGGCUCGAAGGCGUGGGGAGCAAACAGGAUUAGAUACCC